ACGUAGGGUGCAAGCGUUGUCCGGAUUUAUUGGGCGUAAAGAGCUCGUAGGCGGUUAGACACGUCGGAUGUGAAAACUGGGGGCUCAACCCCCAGCCUGCAUUCGAUACGGUCUGACUAGAGUGUGGUAGGGGUAACUGGAAUUCCUGGUGUAGCGGUGAAAUGCGCAGAUAUCAGGAGGAACACCGAUGGCGAAGGCAGGUCUCUGGGCCAAUACUGACACUGAGGAGCGAAAGUCUGGGGAGCGAACAGGAUUAGAUACCCUGGUAGUCCAGACCGUAAACGGUGGGCACUAGUUGUGGGAACCUUCCACGGUUUCUGCGACGCAGCUAACGCAUUAAGUGCCCCGCCUGGGGAGUACGAUCGCAAGAUUA
rnacentral:rRNA from 1 species